rnacentral:ncRNA from 1 species
AUCUUCAGGGCAGGGUGAGAUUCCCGACCGGCGGUUAAGUCCGCGAGCCUUCGGGCCGAUCCGGUGUGAUUCCGGAACCGACAGUACAGUCUGGAUGGAAGAAGAU